AUUGAACGCUGGCGGCAUGCCUUACACAUGCAAGUCGAACGGCAGCACGGGAGCAAUCCUGGUGGCGAGUGGCGAACGGGUGAGUAAUGUAUCGGAACGUGCCCAGUCGUGGGGGAUAACGCAGCGAAAGCUGUGCUAAUACCGCAUACGAUCUGUGGAUGAAAGCGGGGGAUCGCAAGACCUCGCGCGAUUGGAGCGGCCGAUAUCAGAUUAGGUAGUUGGUGGGGUAAAGGCCCACCAAGCCUGCGAUCUGUAGCUGGUCUGAGAGGACGAUCAGCCACACUGGGACUGAGACACGGCCCAGACUCCUACGGGAGGCAGCAGUGGGGAAUUUUGGACAAUGGGCGCAAGCCUGAUCCAGCAAUGCCGCGUGCAGGAUGAGGGCCUUCGGGUUGUAAACUGCUUUUGUACGAGACGAAAAGACUCGCUCUAAUACAGUGGGUACAUGACGGUAUCGUAAGAAUAAGCACCGGCUAACUACGUGCCAGCAGCCGCAGUAA
rnacentral:rRNA from 1 species